CAGUAGCCACGGGAAUACGAAGGGGGCUAGCGUUGCUCGGAACGACUGGGCGUAAAGGGCGCGUAGGCGGCUUGUACAGUCAGAUGUGAAAUUCCUGGGCUCAACCUGGGGACUGCAUUUGAUACGUACGGGCUUGAGUGGAGAAGAGGGUUGUGGAAUUUCCAGUGUAGAGGUGAAAUUCGUAGAUAUUGGAAAGAACACCGGUGGCGAAGGCGGCAACCUGGUCUUUAACUGACGCUGAGGCGCGAAAGCGUGGGGAGCAAACAGGAUUAGAUACCCCAGUAGUCCCUGUCUCUUAUAC
rnacentral:rRNA from 1 species